rnacentral:rRNA from 1 species
GACAGAGGGUGCAAACGUUGUUCGGAAUUACUGGGCGUAAAGCGCGUGUAGGCGGCUAAGUAAGUCGGGCGUGAAAUCCCACGGCUCAACCGUGGAAGUGCACUCGAAACUGCAUAGCUAGAGUCCUGGAGAGGAAGGUGGAAUGCUUGGUGUAGAGGUGAAAUUCGUAGAUAUCAAGCGGAACACCGGUGGCCGAAGGCGGCCUUCUGGACAGUGACUGACGCUG